rnacentral:rRNA from 1 species
CACGUAGGCGGUUUUUUUAAGUCAGAUGUGAAAUCCCCGGGCUUAACCUGGGAACUGCACCUGAUACUGGAAGACUAGAAUGUGGGAGAGGAGAGUGGAAUUUCCGGUGUAGCGGUGAAAUGCAUAGAGAUCGGAAGGAACACCAGUGGCGAAGGCGGCUCUCUGGACCAACAUUGACGCUGAGGUGCGAAAGCGUGGGUAGCAAACA